CAUACCAACGUUUUAAAAUAUACGUGUGUUUCUGAUCAACACAUUCAGGAUACCAUCGGUGCUAUGUCCAAAUGAUGGCAUUAAACCUUUAGUUCGAGUAUCGCCAAACAUACCUGACUGCAAAAUCUCGGCUCAAGCCCAAUUGCAACCUGAACGGGUUGUGUUUCUCAAUACGGAGCAAAUUCAACGUCUUCUAUGUAAAAUGGGCCCAUAGGCUGUACCAGAGAAAUGAUAGACAGAUACGCAUUGAACAAUAUCUAUUACUUCUGGUGAGUUACGUGCAAACCUCCGGACCAGCAUAUUACUCCUUAGAGCUAACGCUCUUCUUUCUCACAGCAGAUCAGCUGCAGCAACAGACGAUUUGUCUGAUGGAGACUCAAUGUCGUUUAGCAAAACACUGUUAAGCAACAUUGGUGGAACUGUUCAAUUGAAAAUGCCCGUGAAAAAGGUUCCGUUUCCUACUGAGCAGACCACACCAAUAUUACUACUCUUCUAGCAUAGCUUUCCUCUUAUGCCAUAAAAGUUCUCAACAUCGGCCGUGGACUGCCAAGGGCCAUAUCUACAUAGUGCUUACAGACCGCGACUGGUGCUUCACUAUGUAUAAAGAAAUGUUAGUCUCGUCCUGGACUCUGCGUUUUGGACCUGAGAUCCUACGUAAGCCUUCUAAAGGAUCAGACACAAGACACAUAAUAUUACUAAUAAACUAUUAAUAUAAAUAAAAGAGCACGAUAAUUGAAAUCAAUUUUGUGGAAGAGUAUAACCGAGCGAGCUGUCCGAGUGAAGAGUUAAACGCCGUGAUUACACACCGAUUUGCCUAUCAUUUUUGAUAGGCCGAUAUUCGCGAAUUGCAUCUGCAUUUAAUCGACCAUUACUGAUGUUAACGGUCAGCUGAAAACGCGGAUAAGUAAUUUGUCAAUUUUUUUGCAUAUUUUUACGUUAGGUAAUAUAAUGUAUUUCAAUGUUGUUUUGAGCGAUGACGCGUAUAAGUUAUUUUAGUGGCUAUAAAAAGAUAAAUAUAAAAAUAAAGUUAGUAGAUAAAUAAUAAAAUGAUUUGCGAAUAAUAACUUGAUAAGUGAUAAGAUACAUGAGCCAUGGUGACGAUUAAUCUAAAUAUCGAGUUCGUUUAAUAUAUUUUAUUAUAUUAAUUAGACGUCAUCAAACUUUAACUUUUAUUCAGGUAUUGCAGUGUUGGUUAUAUUCUUUAACGCUUUAAUAUUAAAAAAACUAUACAAAAAGGUUUUCUGUAUUUUUUUCUGUCGGUACGUGAAUAUUGUAUGUAUUAUGUUAUAUAUAAGUAACGUAAUUCAAUUUGGCAAAUAUAAGCUUCAAGUUUCAUUACACCCGGUUUAAGUCGCCUAUUUGUUUUAGUUUUAACUGCAAAUAAUAAAACAUUGUAAUUACUUAA